GAUGAACGCUGGCGGCGUGCCUAAUACAUGCAAGUCGAGCGAAUGGAUUAAGAGCUUGCUCUUAUGAAGUCAGCGGCGGACGGGUGAGUAACACGUGGGUAACCUGCCCAUAAGACUGGGAUAACUCCGGGAAACCGGGUCUAAUACCGGAUAACAUUUUGAACCGCAUGGUUCGAAAUUGAAAGCCGGCUUCGGCUGUAAUUUAUGGAUGGAUCCGGGUCGCAUUAGCUAGUUGGUGAGGUAACGGCUCACCAAGGCAACGAUGCGUAGCCGGCCUGAGGGGGUGAUCGGCCACACUGGGACUGAGACACGGCCCAGACUCCUACGGGAGGCAGCAGUAGGGAAUCUUCCGCAAUGGACGAAAGUCUGACGGAGCAACGCCGCGUGAGUGAUGAAGGCUUUCGGGUCGUAAAACUCUGUUGUUAGGGAAGAACAAGUGCUAGUUGAAUAAGCUGGCACCUUGACGGUACCUAACCAGAAAGCCACGGCUAACUACGUGCCAGCCGCCGCGGUAA
rnacentral:rRNA from 1 species